rnacentral:lncRNA from 1 species
CUUCCUCGCCUCUGACUUCGCCGAAUUUACUAAAUUGAUAUUCUAUAUUUGAGUUUGACACGUGGCAAGCAUAUAGAAAGGCACGUGUCAGUCUUACACCAAGGGUUCUACUAAAGUUUGACACGUGGCAAGCAUAUAGAAAGUCACGUGUCAGUUUUACACCAAGGGUUCUACUUUAGUAUACAGUAAAUAGAUUCGUACAUAGUAAAUAGAUUUAAUUUGUAUAUAUUAUUAAUAUACCUUUAUAGUGAUUUAAUUUGAAGGGUGCGUUUGGUUCGAGUUAUCCUCGCAGGAUUACAGGCAAUCCUGCCAGGAUAACUGUGUUUGGUUAAUCUGUUAUGUAAUCUAGUCGUUAAUGUAGCAUUGCAAAUCGAGCAGGAUUACAUCGAAAAUAUUAACGGGAGGGGGGUCGUGUAUCUUGUAUUACUGAAACCCGUUAAUACUACAUAUUAUGUAAAAUGACAAUUUUACCCUCCAACAACCCCAAAUCUAAUUAACAGCAUUAUUUUCAUCUCUCUCGCCUUCCCCCCUCUCUCUCGCACGCCGCUUUCUCUCGCUCUCUCUCUCUCGCACGUCUCUCUCUUUCUCUAUCUCUAUCUCUAUCUCUAUCUCUUUCUCUCUCUCGCACGAACACCUAUCUUCUUCUAUUGAGUCGUCCUCCCAGGUAAUCAUCACGAUCUCCUUCCCUCCAUUCGACAUUUCCGCAAAAAAUAAUAUUCAAAUGACCACAACAAGGGCAAUUUUGGAAAAAACUAUACUUUUAUAUUAGGAUUGCUAAAUUUCAUAAACUGAACCAAACGUAUUAAUGGUAUAAACACUGUAAUCUAGUAUUACAUUACUGCAUUAAACCAAAUGCGCUAAUGUAGCAUCAAUAGUAAUCUCAUGCCGAAAUCCAAAAUACCUGGAUAUGUCGAGAUACUUUGUAAUAUUACAUAAAUCGAACCAAACGGGCCCGAAUAGUAAUCUAUAUUUGAGUUUGACAUGUGGCAAGCAUAUAGAAAGCCACGUGUCAGUUUUACACCAAGGGUUCUACUUUAGUAUAUAGUAAAUAGAAUAGAUAUAGUAAAUAGAUUUGAAUAGUUAUCUAUAUUUGAGUUUGACACGUGGCAAGUAUAUAGAAAGCCACGAUCAGUUUUACACCAAUAGUUCUACUUUAGUAUAUAGUAAAUAGAUUAGUACAUAGUAAAUAGAUUUAAUUUGUAUAUAUUAUUAAUAUACCUUAAUAGUGAUUUAAUUUGAAUAGUGAUUUAAUUUGAUUUAAUAGUAUUUUCUAACCUAUUUACUAAAUUGUUAUUCUAUAUUUGAGUUUGACAUGCGGCAAGUACAUUGAAAGUCACGUAUCAGUUUUACACCAAGGGUUCUACUUUAGUAUAUAGUAAAUAGAUAUAAAAGCAUUCGC